UCUUUUCUUCUUUCCCUUUUCCUUUUUUCUUUUCUUUGGUGAUUUCUCUCGAACCCUGAAAAUUUAGAGAACAUGACCGAGAUCACGAAAAUUAGUAAGCCCUGUGGGGGUAAAAUCACACCUAGUUGUUGAUGGCUCUCAUGCAUGUUGAUUGGAUUAUAAGUGGAGAAGAGGGAUUUUUAUUCUUCAAUUUGAUUUGAAACAAAUGAUUUCCACUGCAUUAAUCAAUGUGAUUGUUAUGGAAUGAUGGGUUUGUGAUAUUAAAUGCAUAUGAUUGAUAUUUAGAUCAGACUAAAUGGUUGAUUUGGAGGUGAUGGUUAGUGGCGGCGGCGGUGCUGCUUGGUAGUUGAGAAAUUGGUCUGAUUUCUCGAGUGACGUAACGGAGAGUCGGAGUUCGCCAAGUGGGCCGAAACCCGGUCCGCUAGAGGUUUAGAUUUUCUGAUCCGUCACAUUCAUGGUCUGGAAGCAAAAAGAAAUGCUAAUGGUUUGUUUCUCUCUCAAAUAAAGUAUGCACUUGAUUUGCUUGAUAAAUUUGACAUAGGUGGUGCCAAGCCUUGUACCUGUCCAGUUCCACUCCACAACAAACUUACAACUCACUCAGGUACACCUUUGUCAGAUGCUACAAC